rnacentral:rRNA from 1 species
CAGCCGCCGCGGUAAUACAGAGGAUGCAAGCAUUAUCCGGAAUGAUUGGGCGUAAAGCGUCUGUAGGUGGCUUUUCAAGUCUGCCGUCGAAUCCCAGGGCUCAACCCUAGACAGGUGGUGGAAACUACCAAGCUGGAGUACGGUAGGGGCAGAGGGAAUUUCCGGUGGAGCAGUGAAAUGCGUAGAGAUGUGGAGGAACACCAGUGGCGAAGGCGACUCUCUGGUCUGUAACUGACGCUGAGGAGCGAAAGCGUGGGGAGCGAACAGGAUUAGAUACCCCAGUAGUCCCUGUCUCUUAUAC